rfam:Ciona savignyi cont_35801, whole genome shotgun sequence.
GUCGUCGUGGCCGACUGGUUAAGGCGACAGACUUGAAAUCUGUUGGGCUCUGCCCGCACAGGUUCGAAUCCUGUCGGCGACG